rnacentral:rRNA from 1 species
UACCAGCACCCCGAGUGGUUGGGACGAUUAUUGGGCCUAAAGCAUCCGUAGCCGGUCCUGCAAGUCUUCCGUUAAAUCCAGCUGCUCAACAGAUGGGCUGCGGAGGAUACUACAGGGCUAGGAGGCGGGAGAGGCAAGCGGUACUUUAUGGGUAGGGGUAAAAUCCGUUGAUCCAUAGAAGACCACCAGUGGCGAAGGCGGCUUGCCAGAACGCGCUCGACGAUGAGGGAUGAAAGCUGGGGGAGCAAACCGG